GGGAAUUUUCGGCAAUGGGCGAAAGCCUGACCGAGCAACGCCGCGUGAACGAAGAAGGUCUUCGGAUUGUAAAGUUCUGUUAUAGAGGAAGAACGGUGUACGUAGGAAAUGACGUACAAGUGACGGUACUCUGUGAGGAAGCCACGGCUAACUACGUGCCAGCCGCCGCGGUAAUACGUAGGUGGCGAGCGUUAUCCGGAAUGAUUGGGCGUAAAGGGUGCGCAGGCGGUCCUGCAAGUCUGGAGUGAAACGCAUGAGCUCAACUCAUGCAUGGCUUUGGAAACUGGAGGACUGGAGAGCAGGAGAGGGCGGUGGAACUCCAUGUGUAGCGGUAAAAUGCGUAGAUAUAUGGAAGAACACCAGUGGCGAAGGCGGCCGCCUGGCCUGUUGCUGACGCUGAGGCACGAAAGCGUGGGGAGCAAAUAGG
rnacentral:rRNA from 1 species